rnacentral:lncRNA from 1 species
AGUUCUGCCCAUGGGCACAGGCAAUUGGUCUCAACUGCGCAUGGUUUGCCCUGUAAUGCCCUCCAAAUGACCAGCUGAAAAGAUUGAUAGUCUAGAGCAGAGGACCUGCGGCACCUGAUCCACAGACCAGACAGUUAGGAGGCUUCUUUGUCCUCCCAGAAGUGCAGGCAAAGUUUUGGUGUUCAUCAAAUGAGUGAUCAAUGACAGGUUAUCACACCUACUGCAAAAAUAUAUGGCACUUCCCUCUCCACCUCCACAGUGGGCUGUGAAAAUUAAUUGAGUUCAGGCUGUGAAAAACUUAAGCUGCUACAUGAAAUGCAAAAUCAUUAAGCUUCAGAGAUUGUAACAUUCUGCUUGUGGCCUUGGGACUGAAACACCAGAUGUCAUGCCCAAUAAUGACUUCACUUUUCAUCCAACUUCAACAACUCAAGAUUGAGCGCAUUUUGGGUUUUGACCUUGCACUGCUAUACUGAGAUUCAGCAGAAGUUAACUACCCGCAAGACUCCCUCCAGAGAACUGAGGCCUCAGGAUCAUCUUCAACACCUUCACCCAGAGUACGGAGACAAAACCCUUGCCACAUAGACCUGCCACACCACAAUACCAGGUGGAGAUGCACCGUUGCUUGAGUUGGUCCACCAAGAAAGUUGCCAUAGAAGCCUGAAGUUACGACAGCUUAUAAGGAAGUGGUUAUCGAUUAUGACGGAUGGAGAAAAUGGCAAACGUGGCUGAAAGUGGACAUUUUUGCCUUGACAACUCCAUCUGCUCCUCCUCUAUGAAAGCUCCAUCCAGGGCCAGGCGCGGUGGCUCGUGCCUGUAAUCAACACUUUGGGAGGCCAAGAGAUGCCCAGGUCCCAAAUGUAAUAAUUCCAUGGUAUGAUGGGUUGCUGCUGCACCUGUCUGAUUUGAGAUGUUUCCCAGUAUGGUCUUGAAUUCCUCAGCUCAAGCGACCCUCCUGCCACAGCCUCCCAAAGUUCUGGGAUUACAGGCAUGACCCACCAUGCCUGGCUACCUUGAGGACCUUAAAAGAGGGAGCAUAUCCUGAAUUAUCCAGGUGGACCCAAUGUAAUCUGAAGGGUCCCCAUAUGAGGGAGGUAGAGGAGGAUUUGACUACAGAACAGAAGGCAAUGUGACAACUGAAGCAAAAUGCUACAUGCUGGCUUGGAGGAUGGAGGAAGGAGCCAUAAGCCAAGGAAUGCCAGCAGUCACUGGGAGCUGAAAAAGGUGAAGAAAUGGACUCUCCCCGAGCCUGUAGAGCAAGUAUGGCCCUAUUGACCCUUGAUCUCAGCCAAGAGAAAUUGAUUUCAGACUUCUGACCCCCAGAACUGUACGGCAAUAAAUGUGUGCUGUUUUAAGCAA